UGAGUUUAUUCCGUGAUAUGCAUAAAAAUAAAAACUAAUUGAGAUAUUGAUGUGCUGAUAUUCAAUUUAGAAGGUAUAUUUCAUGGUUAACUCAUUUUUCCUUUUUUACAAUUUUUGGACAGGCCAUGCCCAUCAUGUCUAACCCAAUCAACCCUCCCCUCCUUUAAAGAUUAAACCAAGCCUAAUCACUGAAAUUCAUACACUGGGUUCACAAAUAGAGGCUGGUUCGGAAUGUGAUUCUGAUUCACUUGGAACUUGGUUGAAUCGUUGUAUUGGCAUGGCAGUUGGAAUAACUCGAAUUUGUCCACGCCAGGGGGGUCGGUUCCGGCAAUAUUGCUUAUGGUGCCUUGGAAAUCAAAGGCUGAAUGGUAUGAAUUGUCACCUAGAAGUUGUGAAAUUGGACCCAAGUAUUCCAUGUCCAAUAAAUGAGCAAGGGAAAAAGUCCUUGGAAAUUUCACUUGGUGCUGCUCACCGCCAUCAUCUGAAUUUGUAACGGGUAUUUGGGGACCUAAAUUUUCUUCUUUCUCUUCCAAAAUUCUCCCCACAUGCUUCUUCUUAUAGAUCCUACAUAGCACCCAAUCAUCCAACUGAAACACAAAACACGAGCAGUUACUGGUCAGAUCACCAUUAUAUAUAAUCUAUACUCUAAAGAAAAUAGUAGAAAAUUUGAUUCUAAAAGUGAUAAGAACCUACUCUCAUGGAACCAUUGUGCUUCUUGGGGCGUGGCCUUGAAUCACUAAGGCGAUAUUCAUGCAUAAUCCAAUCGGUCUUAAUGCCCUUAGGAGGCCUACCCUUGUAGAACACAAGAGCCUUUUUCACCCCCACAUACUUAGCCCCACUGUAGAUUGCCUUGUCUGUCCCUGUGGCUUUCCAGUAGCCGGACACUGUAGCUCGGUUGGGUCUAGCCCCAUUGGGAUACUUACGGUCACGCGGGCUAAAGAAAUACCACUCAUUUUCUCCAAAUUCCGCCUUCUCUGCACAGCCCAUAUAGUAAAAAUUAAAGGUUAAACACGAGUUACAUGAGCAUGAGCAUAGUUGAGAUAUGUACUCCUACCAAUGAAAUGAAACUCACCAGGCAAUUCCCAAGGCUCGAAUUUGUAGAUAUCCACUUCGGGGAUAAUGGAUACGGGGCAUGGCUUGGAAGUGGCUUGGUUUUUGAGGUAAUACAUGAUGAGUUCCUCGUCGGUGGGGUGGAAUCUAAAACCGGGAGGAAGUUGAGAGCUGCCUUUUCCAUCCAUCGCAGCAGGUUUUCCUUUUGCCUGUUUGGGCAGUUGGAAAGGGUGAGGAAAGGGUAACAGGUGUUGAAGAGAAGGGAGAGUGUUUGAAAUGUUUGAAUGGAGAGCGCUAGCCGUUUUAUUGGUGAGGGUUAUUUGUCGUGUUGUGGAAUUUCCUUGUCUCAGAGUUAUUUUAUUGAUUGGUUUUUUAUUGACUUAGCUUACCUCGUUCCAUACUCGCAGGAUAACACUUUCUUUAUUGGUAUAGGGAUUCUUGGGAUCACGCUGGAAUUGGUCAAUAGAAAUUGGAAAAGAAAGCGAAGGGGAUUGGGUGGGAGAGAGUGUGCUUCAUUUCAUACUCGAGCCGGUGUGACAAGGCCUCAUCUUCAGCAUGGAGAACGGGUCAUCCGAGGUAGCCAUCACAGCCAGCUUCGAAACAUGACACGUGUCCGUACCGAAAAGAGUAAAGUAGGAUAAGCACGAGAGAAAACGUAUGCGCUUUUACUCGUGGUUCUUAUCCACCCACCUCACUCAUUGUGGCAUUUCUUUUUUAUUUGUCACGUGGUCACAUCUCCUCCUUGGCGUCAAGAUCAAUGCACCACGUGGCAAAUGCAACUGUUGGACAGAAUAUUCCAAGGAUCUGAGCCGUUGAAAGGAGGGCCUACCCAUCCUAAAAAAAAAAUUAGGACAGCAUGCGGAGUAGGUGAGGUGUCUGGCUUUGGAUAAUUGGAUGAGCUAGGGAUGACUCCAUACACAUUUCUAUAGAUGGAAAAUUGAAGAUUCAUGUGGAAAUGGAGGCGGGAAGCGAGCAGUGAGCAGUAAUCCUCGAAAUGAUUGGGGUGUUGAACGUGGGAAUGAGAGCUGGAUUUUUCAACCAAUAAUUGGCCUACAUUUUAAGGGUAAAUGGAGACGGUUGGUUGGUGGAAGGCUGGAACUUGAAGGAAGUCUCAUGAACGAUUGCUAAUUACACAAUUAUUAUAUUAAUUUGUGGUUAUGAUUCUUAUGAAUGACAAGAUUCCGUGAGGAUGGCACUGACAGGAUUCCGGACAGACAGCAGUUGCAAUAAACAGUGCAUAGCUUGUCCUUGGCUCGCUCAGUAGCUUGCCUAAUUUCCAAUCCCCACUAAUUAAAAAAUUAUUAAAAAACUUCAAAUUUUAUAAAUCAAUUUUAUUUUUACCUUUUUAAAAAUAAUUUUAAAUACAUACACUUUUUAUAAAUUAAAUAAUUAUUUCCUUGAAAUGAUAAUUUUAUUUGUAAUGUUAAUAAUAUCACUUGAUUAGGAUGAGAAUUGAUUUCAAAGUAAUAAAUAAAAAAUUUUAAAAUUUAAAGAUACAAUUAAAUCUUUAAAAUUAAAAAUAUAAAAAUAAAUGUUAACUUUACUUUGUUAAAAUACGUUAAUAGAAAAUAUAAAUAUUCAGAAAGAGUCGAAAAUAUUAUAAGAGUCAAUAUUUUAUUUUUAAAAUUUUUUAUUUUAAUUGUAUUUAAUUUUUAAGUAUAUUAGUUUUAAUUGUAUUUUCAAUUUUUAAGAUUUCUUAUUUUAUUGUUGAUGUCAACUAAUAAAAUUUUUAUUCAAUUUUAUUAAAAACAAAAUCAUAGGAUGGAUGGAUUUAUAUAAUAUAGGAUAUAAAAUCAUUAUUAUUAAAAAAAAUUAUAAUAUUUUAUUUGUAAUAUAUUUUAAUCAAAUUAAAAUGAUAAAUUAAUUUUUUUGAUAAUUUUAUUUAAUAUCCUCAAGUAAAAGAAUAUUUUAAAAAAUAAUUAUCUUAUUUAUAAAAAAAGUAUAUGUAUUUUAAAAUAUUGUUAAAUGAAUGAAGAUUUUUUUUUGUUCUUUUCCUUGUCUCAUAAAAUAACUUUUUUUGAAGAAUCAAAAGAUUUAUAACUUGUGUUUUAUUAUAUUAUUUUUAAGAUAAUUCUAUUUUAAUAAAAAUAAAAUAAAAUUAAAUAUAAAACCAAAUUUAUUUUUAUUUUAAUGAAAAGUAUCUUCUCUUUUUCUCUUGAACCUUUAAACUAAAGAAAAAAUAAAAUCACAUUCAUUCCAGAAAUUUUUAAUUAAAUAUACUGUGAAGCAUGUUUUUUACCUGCACAGUAGGUAAGUUUUCUUCCACCAACACUCCUGGAAAACGAGUGUGUAAAAGAUGAUUUACUUUUUAAAUAAUAAUUUUUUAAUAUAUGGAAGAGGUGCAUAUGGUAGUAUGACACGUGUACUGAGAAAGGAAGUUGAAAAUAUGAGAACGAGUUAUAACCGUUUUCGAAAACUGAAAAGCAAUUUUUAAAAACUAUUCUCCGAAUAUUAUUAUUAAAAAUAAUUUUUAUAUCUAAUAUUUUAUUUUUAAUCAUUCUACAUGUUUUUGUAAUUAUUUUUUAAAACAAUGCUAAGAAAAUAAAUGAAAAUGAUAUAAAAUAAUUAAAAAAUAUUAUCUGAAAAUAUAAUAUUUUAUGUUCUUAAGAAUAAAUAAUAGAAAAUAGUUUUUAGUUGUCAAAUAUAAUUUUUUAUGUUUUUGGUUUUAGAAAAUAGAAAAUUAUUUUUAAAAGCAUUUCUCAAACAGACCCUUAAUUAUUUUUUAUUUUCUCGUACAUAUGCGGUAAGAAUUAACGCGAACUAAGGCCUUAAUUAAGCCGAGAUGAGAGCAUAAGCACGUGAUCAUGACUUGCCCAACUUUAAAACAAGAUAAUCUCAAUUAUAAAUCUUGUUUUAGUCUAAAGAAAAAAAUAAAUGAAUUGUCCAAUACUGAAAUCUUGUUUGAGGUCAAGGGAUAACAACGAGCAUGCGCAUGAAUGAAAUAAAAUAUGCACAACUUUGACAAUCCUCAAGGUGGGGAAGUGCUCAAAAAGGAAUCCAAAUUGGAUUCACGUGAAAGAACAAAAAAGAAAGAAGGCCAUUUGUGAACCUUUCUUACAAGUUAUACAACAGAUAAGGGUGUAGGAAAGGUUCACAAUUGGCCUCGCCUUCUUUAUAUAUAUCUAUGGGCCCUGGGCCCAUUUUAACACAUUCACACACCAUUUCCACUUAGGCCAUUUAACUCUGAGAACCCAUGUGUCAAGUGUUAGCUUAUUGGCGGAUUGAAUGUGUGAGGUUCGUUUUGAUAACUUUCAAAACAAAAAUCAAAACUAUGUCAAAGUCUCAUACUCAGUACUCAUCACUCAUCCCCCACUAUUAUUUGUUUGACAACCCAACUAUUAUUUGUUUAAGGUUAUAUUUGAUUGUCGGAUAAAAAAAAUAUUAAUGACAAUACUUUUUUUAUAUUUGGUUUUAUUAUAGAUAAUGUGAAAGAAAAUCAAAUGUAAUUAAAAUUAUUUAGAAAUUUAUAUAUUUUAAAUUAUUUAAUUUUUAUAUAAUAAAGUAAAAUAAGUAAAAUGAGUUUGAAGAAACAUGUGUAAAAUUGAUAAUCUAUUCUACCCCAAAAUUCUCAAAUGCUUAAUUAAUGUAGAAAAAUUAUAUUAUUCCUGAAAGAUAAAUGAGAAAUAGAAAGGAUAGUUUAGGGCUACGUUUGGUUCUUGAAAAAUAUUUUAAAAAUAAAAAAAAAUACUAAAAAAAAAUAGUUCUCUCAUAUUGGGUUUCACAAUAGGAAAUAUUAAAGAAAAAUCUAUAAUUUAUUAUAUAUUUAUAUAUUUUUAAAUUAAUUUAUCUUUAUAUACCAGAUAGAAAUAAAAGAUCAUAUAGGUUUGAAGGAUAUAAAAAUAACUUAUUGACUUUAAACCUAUUUUUUAUUUUCUUUUAGUGUUUUUUUUUUAUUUUCUUUCCUUCAUAUUUUACUUUAAAUUUUUUGAAAAUCAAAUAUAACGUAGAUCAAUAAAAUAAUAAAAUGAAAGAAGAUAAAGUUGAAAAUAUAUUUAAUUUAUGAAUCCUAGGACUUCUCUUAUUUAAACUUUUUUUCUACCUUUGUUAACCUUCCCCUUUCUAUCCAUGGCGUUAGUCAAAUCUUCCCAUUAUCUAACUUAAAGAAGCUUGCUAAUUCAUCCUUGGCGUUUGUUUUCCUUUGCCUCCACCUCAUUAAGCACAUACCACCCACCUACUGCUAUCCGCAUCACCAAAUUUUGGUCCAAAUACAUUGGAAUAUUUGCAUGCUUAUUGAAAGCAUUAAUAAAUUUUUGAAUUUUUUAAUACCCCAUUGGGAAACCAGAUAAGCCCAUCUUAGAAAAAGAUACAUUCAGUCGUCAAUGUAGAAAUAAGUAAUAAUCCUACAAUCAUCACAUGCCCUAUUAUUAAAAAGAAAAGAAAAAAAGAAAAAAAAAAUGCAACGUGCAAUAACCCUUUUAAAAGGCUAUGUGAAACUUACACCGACAGCCCAUUAGAUUAUUAACAAUUAUAUUUUUAAAUGUUCCCCUUUGUUUUUGGACAUUAUACUAAUACUUCUUUAUGGCACAUAGAUCAACAUUGAUCAUUAACCAUUGACAUUAGUUGAUUCAUGACAUCAUGUUGAAAAAUGUAAAAAACAAAAUACUGUCGUGCCUUCGUACCUAUGUUACUGUUUGGUUGCUAUUUUUGAAAAUUGUUUUCAGAAACAGUUUUUAAUAAUAGUUUUUGUGUUUUUAGAAGCAAAAUUGUGUUUAAGAAAUGACAAAUUUUGUUCUAAAUAUAUAUAUGUGUGUGUGUGUUUGGUUGAGUUAAUAAUUUUAAAAAAAAAAAUGAGUGUUUUUUUUCUAUUAACUUAAUAUUAUAACAUAUAAAUAUUAAAUUCAUACUUCAUUUAAAUUAAAAAAUGUAUAUUCAAUUUUAAAAUUUAUUUAUACCAGCUAUAAUUUUUUUAAACAAAUGAUUACUUUUUAAAUAUGUAUAACUCUAUAUUUGAUUUCAAUAAAAUUUUUAUUCGUACAUAUGGUAAACUCCUUAAUAAAUGCAUCAUACUAAUACAUGUUUUCAUUUAAAAAAAAGAAUUACUUAAAUUACAUAUAUGCUAAUACAAUCAAUAUUAACACAAAUAAAUAUUAUAAGUAUUAAGACAUCAACAUCAUAUUUUAAUAUAAUAUAUUAAAUUUUUAUAGUUUAUAGAUGAUAUUUUUUUAGACAAUAUAUACAUUCACUUAUUAAUAAUUAAAAUAAAAAUAAAAAAAUGAUAAAUAAUAAAAAAAAUAGAACGAUGCUAUACUUACAACAACCAAUAAGUAAAAGAUAAUUUUGAUGAUUUGUUGUAGGCAUUAGGCGCCGUAAGUUGGCUUAUGGAUCAUACUCAUCAACCCAUAUAAAGUAGUAAGGAUAUUCCUACAAUACAAAAAUUGUUAUAAAUAAAUAAAAAUACGAUGCGUGUAUUUCAUUAAUAUCAAUAUAUUUUCAUGUGAUAGUUAAAUAUACUUACACGAUAUAAUGGACAACGAUAAAACCAAUUACUAUUGUUCUUCUAUGUUUUCGACAUGAAAAUACAUAUAUGUCUACACCCACAAUAACAUAUGAGUUUUUUGUCCAUCCUACUUUUACAAUUAUAAAGCAAAUUUAUAAACAGUAUUUAAUCAUUAGAAAUUACAACAUAUAUCACAUAAUACUAAUGACAACUAGUUAAAAGUAUAUAUAAAUUCUAACAUAUAAUUGAAGUAUUGACAAAUAUUUAGAAUUAAAAAUGGUACAAGUCAUGGAUUGAAAUUGAUAUAAUUUGCCCACAUCAUUUGAGCAAUUUGAUUACUACAAGUUGUUAUAGUUAUUGCACUCUCAUUUGAUAAAUCAAUUGAGUGGCUUAUACUACUGUGCUCUCUUCUUCACCUUGGAUUGAAAGGUUUUCCACCUUAUAUACUCUAAAGAAUUGAUCAUUUCGGAUUGAUAGACGAAUCCAAUUAUGAAGGGUACAACAUACUACAAUAAUCGAUAAUUCUCAACUUGGCUUAUAAUAAGACAUCAUCCUUAAUAUUGGAAACUGUGUCUUCAAAACACCAAAACAUCUUUCAAUAAUAUUUCGAAGGGAUGAAUAUCUAUAAUUAAAAAGUUUUUUUAUACCUAAUGAGUUUCUUACAUCUACCUCGAUAUUCUUGUAAAUAAUAUCACUCACCUUGAUAUGGUAGUAGAAAUCCAGAUAUACAAGGACAACCAAAAUCAACUAAAUAACAUUUUCCUUCACUUAGCUAAGGAAAAUGGACUUUUGGUCUAGUCAAUGCAUAUACAAAGACACAUUCACCAUUAUUUGUUUCUUCCCAAUUAGCAUAAACAAAUAUGAACGUCAUGUCAAAAUCACAUGCACAUAUAACAUUUUGUAUUAUAAUUGUUUUUCUAUCCCUAAUACUAGUUUGUCUAUAAGUUGAAACUCAUGCUCUAAUAUGGGUACCAUCAAUUGCACUGUCCUACAACAAAAAAAAAUAUAUAUAUAUAUAUAUAUAUAUAUAUUAUUAUUAAGGAAAUAAAACAAUGGUCAUGAAAACUUAUGUACAUGAGAUUCACAUUUAUAAUUUUUUUUUUUUUUAUAAAUUAUUACCUUCAACCAUGGAAAAUAUUUAGGAUUACCAAUAACCUAUGAAGACACCUCACUAGCCAUAUUGCUAAGACACAUAAUAAUUUUGACUAGUCGACAUAAUGCUCAUCCAACUUCUUUAAAGUGUAGAGUGACAGUCUCUGUGGAGUGUUGAAAACGAUUUGCUACCACCUUCAUUCUCACAUUAUGCCUUACUAUUAGUAAAAACAUUGUAACUGUCUCUUCGACUAUCAUUAAUAGUGUAUCUUGCAAGUUUUCAUGUCUCUUAAGAUGAUCGUAAAGGUUCAAAAAU
rnacentral:lncRNA from 1 species